ACAUGCAGGUGAUUCGCCGUUGAAAGACGGUUUCCUCUUCGGAGGCACCUGCACAGGUGCUGCAUGGCUGCGUUCAGCUCGUGUCGUGAGAUGUUGGUUAAGUCCCGCAACGAGCGCAACCCUUAUCCCUAGUUGCCAUCAGGUAAAGCUGGGAACUCUGGGAGACUGCCGGUGAUAAACCGGAGGAAGCGGGGAUGACGUCAAGUCCUCAUGGCCCUUACAUCCCGGGCUACACACGUGCUACAAUGGCAGGUACAGAGGGCUGCGACACAGCGAUGUGAAGCGAAUCCCGAAAAGCCGGUCUCAGUCCGGAUUGGAGUCUGCAACUCGACUCCAUGAAGUUGGAAUCGCUAGUAAUCGCGGAUCAGCACGCCGCGGUGAAUACGUUCCCGGGCCUU
rnacentral:rRNA from 1 species